AAAAAAAAUGAAAAAUAUUUUUCUUCCCAUAAUUCUAGAUCACUGAUUUAAUCUAAAAAGGUGCCUCUUCUUCUUCUCCAAGGGAAAAAACCCUCUCCAGGAGAGGACGGGCUCCUCUCUCUCUUAGGCUCUUAGAAGCUUCUCCCUGGAACUCUUAAACUACAUGCUCUCCGGAAAUCCCUUUUGGAUGUUUUAUUGUUAUUUAUUUUCUCUUCACAUUAAUGAAUGAGAUAAUUCCAAAUCUAACUUGAGCGUCGAAAGGUAUUUCUAGUGGACCCCUUACCGUCUUUUUCUACCUUAAAGAUCCCUUACCGUCUUUUUCUGCCUUAAAAAUCCCUUUCCUCAAGAUAAGAUAUGGAGAGACCUAACGAAAUCAAUCACGAAGCAACAAUCAAUCCAUACCCAUUGAAUUGAGCCGCUGCUCAGGUAUCUGCAUCUAGACACCCCAUUGGAUAUCGCAUCAUAGAGUGGUGUCGUAUGUGGGAAAUGAAGGAGAUUGUCCUAUCACUGGAGUUUCCAAACAAAACCCAUUGAGAUCCACAUGACAAACCAAGAAAACCUAACAGUCAAAUAACAAGGUAGACCAAAAGAAAGAGAGAUGGUGAAAAGACCCAAGAAUCACCUGUAUCUAAAAUGCUGAUGUGAGAAGAAAAAGCAACUCGGAGCAAUCCAUCAACCAUGAAAAACGAGGAGUGACGUGCACCAGUUACCCAAGUUGUACAAUUACUUUCUUUAGCUCAAAGUAUUUUUGCUAUUAUGAACUAGUAAAAAAAUUUAAAACCUUGGACGAAAAGCUUUGUGUAUAUGAACCUGAAAUAUAACGGUAUACUGAAGUAGCUUAAAAGGCUCUUAUCUGUGAUUAAUAUUAGCAUGAUUCUACUGAAAAAAGAAUUUAAAGCAUGCUGCUAUAUGAUUUGAAAGCUGUGAAGGAAUUUAUGCAUGAGAAACAUUAUUUACUAGAUUUUUUAGAAUCAUAUGAGAUGAUAUAGUCGUACAAAAUUAAUAUUUUGCAUUCAGUUGAAAUAUAAAGCUAAAUAUCUUACUAUUUUAAAUUAACAAUGAGCAUUCUCGUUGCAUAUAAUUUGCGCAAGCCUUUAUUUUUCAGAAAAAAUUCAGAAGCAAGAAAAAGGCUAGAGAGUCAGAGCUAAGAGCCCGAAAAUCACUCAAGGAAAAAAAAAAAGGUUCGGAAGCCAACCCAGGGCUAAAAGUGCCCGAAAGUAAAAGAGCAAAUAUGCUCGAAGGCAAACCUAGGGCUAAAAGUGCUCGGAAGUAAACAAGCAAAAAUGCUCUGAAGCGAGUCUAAGGCUAAAAGAGCCUGAAAGAUGCACAAAAGAAAAAGUGCUCGAAAAGAGAGUCAAGACUAAAGAGCCCGGAAGUCAACCAGGCAAACCAAAGAGCAAAUCAGAGCUAAAAAGCUCGAGAAUACGGGAGGUAGAAAGCGCUCGGACGGAUAACCAAGGUUGAGAACCCAGAAGAUAACUUGAAGCUAAGGAUCUUACAUGCUACAGUGUUCAUUAAUCAAUAUUAUUCAAUCAACAAGGAACAUUCUCGUUACAUAUACUCUGUGCAAAUUUAUGUGCAAGCUCCAAUUUUGCACACAAAUUUAAAAGUAAGAGGAAGACUAAUAAGCCUGGGAGCCACAACUACAAAACGAAAAAGAAGCUCAAGAGGCAGGUGUCAGCCUUGGAAAUAGACCCCUGACACCAAAAAGCCGAAUUGAGGAAAUAAAGAAGCCCAAUGAGGUAGAUGCCGGCAUAAAAAUAGACUUCCGGCACCAAAAAGCCGAGUUAAGGAAAUAAACAAGCCCAAUGUGGCAAAUGCCGACCUCAGAAAUAGACCACUGGCACCAAAAAGCCGAAUUGAGGAAAUAAAGAAGCACAAUGAGAUAGGUGACGGCCUCAAAAAUAGAUCCCUAGCACCAAAAAGCCAAAUUGGGAAAACAAAAAAGCCUAAUCCAGACAAGGGCCAAACUCAGAAAUAGACCCCUGGCACCACUAAGCAUUGAGGAAUCAAAUAAAGAAGACCCAACCAAGACAGGUGCCGGACUCGAAAAAUUUACUCCUGGUACUAGGUAAACCAAGUUAAGGUAUAAAAUGAAUGAAAAAUGCAACCAUUAUGGAAUAACGCUUAAGGGAAAAAAGUCUGAAAAGCGCUUAAGAGGAAAAAUAGCCCGGAAGAGCAAAAAUGCUCGGAAGACGCUUAAAAGCAACAAUGCUCAAAAAGCACAUGAGGGCAAAAAUGCUAGAAAAAUACAAAAAGCCAUAGUAACCCCGGAUAAUGCUUAAGGGCAAAAAGACCAGAGAGCACCCAAGAGCAAAAAUCCUCGGAAGAGUAACCAGGGCUACAAAGCCCAUAAUAAGGCUUAAGAACAAAUAGCCCGAAAAGCGCUUAAGGGCAAAUAGCUCGGAAGGUUCAAAAAGCAAAAAUACUCAGACGAAGGUCCAAAGAAGCGCUUACGAGCCAAAGCACCCAGAUGAAAACCUAGGGCUAAAAAGAGCCCGGUCGAAUACGAAAAGCGAAAAGCGCUCUGACCAAAACUCAAGACUAAGAGCCCGGAAGAUGCUUAAAGAGCAAAAUGCUCGGACUAAG
rnacentral:lncRNA from 1 species